rnacentral:rRNA from 1 species
ACGGAGGGGGCGAGCGUUGUCCGAAAUUAUUGGGCGUAAAGCGCGUGUAGGCGGGUGCUUAAGCCUGUGGUGAAAGGGCGGAGCUCAACUCCAAGAGGGGAUGGAAACUGGGAUUCUUGAGUAUCGGAGAGGAAAGCGGAAUUCCCCGUGUAGCGGUGGAAUGCGUAGAUAUCAGGAGGAACACCCGUGGCGAAGGCGGCUCUCUGGGCGAGUCCUGACGCUGAGACGCGAAAGCGUGGGGAGCGAACGG